CUUUUAUGAAAAUUAUCAUUUGAUAGGGGACUCAGCUUAUCCCUGUAAAUCUUGGCUUAUGUGUCCAUAUCGUGAUAAUGGACGAUUGAGCGCAGAGGAGAAGCAUUUUAAUUUUCUUCUCUCAAAAACCAGAGUUAGAAUUGAGAACACAUUUGCUUUGCUUAAAGGACGAUGGAGAAUAUUAAAGGAUAUCGAUACAUAUUCGAUUGAAAGAGCAGUAGGAAUAAUUAUAACAUGCUGCGUGCUUCAUAAUUAUUGUAUACUGAAAGGAGAUCAUUUUGAAGUGGAGGAAAAUGUUAAUUUUACAAGGAGGAUAUAUGAGGGAGAAGAUGAUUCUGGAGGAAUUAAUAAACGAAGGGAAAUUACCAAUUUACUUAAAAAAAAUAGAUAUGUAGUUUCAAUAUAAAAACAAAAUUAUAAA